rnacentral:lncRNA from 1 species
GGUGGGGGGUGUGGGCGAAGUUCGUCCGCCGCACUCGGAAUGGCCCCAGACUUUGCGGGCGGACUCCGUGUGCCAAAAAUAGGCCACGGGCACAGCCGCGCCCAAAAAUCAGCCCCCGAAGGUCGGGGUGCCAAGACCCCCCAGCGGAAAAAUGGCCAAAAAACGGGUGGGCUAUAGCCUUGGUGGGGGGCGUGGGCGAAGUUCGUCCGCCGGGCUCGGAAUGGCCCCAGACUUUGCGGGCGGCCUCCGUGUGCCAAAAUUAGGCCACGGCCACAGCCGCGCCCAAAAAUCAGCCCCCGAAGGUCGGGGCGCCAAGACCCCCCAGCUGAAAAAUGGCCAAAAAACGGGUGGGCUAUUGCCUUGGUGGGGGGCGUGGGCGAAGUUCGUCCGCCGGACUCGGAAUGGCCCCAGACUUUGCGGGCGGCCUCCGUGUGCCCAAAAUAGGCCACGGGCACAGCCGCGCCCAAAAAUCAGCCCCCGAAGGUCGGGGCGCCAAGACCCCCCAGCGGAAAAAUGGCCAAAAAACGGGUGGGCUAUAGCCUUGGUGGGGGGCGUGGGCGAAGUUCGUCCGCCGGAUUCGGAAUGGCCCCAGACUUUGCGGGCGGCCUCCGUGUGCCAAAAAUAGGCCACGGGCACAGCCGCGCCCAGAAAUCAGCCCCCGAAUGUCGGGGCGCCAAGACACCCCAGCGGAAAAAUGGCCAAAAAAUGGGUGGGCUAUAGCCUUGGUGGGGGGCGUGGGCGAACUUCGUCCGCCGCACUCGGAAUGGCCCCAGACUUUGCAGGCGGCCUCCGUGUGCCAAAAAUAGGCCACGGGCUCAGCCACGCCCAAAAAUCAGCCCCCGAAGGUCGGGGUGCCAAGACCCCCCAGCGUAAAAAUGGCCAAAAAACGGGUGGGCUAUAGCCUUGGUGGGGGGCGUGGGCGAAGUUCGUCCGCCGGGCUCGGAAUGGCCCCAGACUUUGCGGGCGGCCUCCUUGUGCCAAAAUUAGGCCACGGCCACAGCCGCGCCCAACAAUCAGCCCCCGAAGGUCGGGGUGCCAAGACCCCCCAGCGGAAAAAUGUCCAAAAAACGGGUGGGCUAUAGCCUUGGUGGGGGGCGUGGGCGAAGUUCGUCCGCCGGGCUCGGAAUGGCCCCAAACUUUGCGGGCGGUGUCCGUGUGCCAAAAUUAGGCCACGGCCACAGCCGCGCCCAAAACCCAGCCCCCAAAGGUCGGGGCGCCAAGAUCCCCCAGUGGAAAAAUGGCCAAAAAACGGGUGGGCUACAGCCUUGGUGGGGGGCGUGGGCGAAGUUCGUCCGCCGGACUCAGAAUGGCCCCAGACUUUGCGGGCGGCCUCCGUUUGCCCAAAAUAGGCCACGGGCACAGCCGCGCCCAAAAAUCAGCCCCCGAAGGUCGGGGCGCCAAGACCCCCCAGCGGAAAAAUGGCCAAAAAACGGGUAGGCUAUAGCCUUGGUGGGGGGCGUGGGCGAAGUUCGUCCGCCGGACUCGGAAUGGCCCCAGACUUUGCGGGCGGCCUCCGUGUGCCCAAAAUAGGCCACGGGCACAGCCGCGGCCAAAAAUCAGCCCCCGAAGGUCGGGGCGCCAAGACCCCCCAGCGGAAAAAUGGCCAAAAAACGGGUGGGCUAUAGCCUUGGUGGGGGGCGUGGGCGAAGUUCGUCCGCCGGACUCGGAAUGGCCCCAGACUUUGCGGGCGGCCUCCGUGUGCCAAAAAUAGGCCACGGGCACAGCCGCGCCCAAAAAUCAGCCCCCGAAGGUCGGGGCGCCAAGACCCCCCAGCGGAAAAAUGGGCAACAAACGGGUGGGCUAUAGCCUUGGUGGGGGGCGUGGGCGAAGUUCGUCCGCGGGACUCGGAAUGGCACCAGACUUGGCGGGCGGCCUCCGUGUGCCAAAAAUAGGCCACGGGCACAGCCGCGCCCAAAAAUCAGCCCCCGAAGGUCGGGGUCCCAAGACCCCCCAGCGGAAAAAUGGCCAAAAAACCGGUGGGCUAUAGCCCUGGUGGGGGGCGUGGGCGAAGUUCGUCCGCGGGACUCGGAAUGGCACCAGACUUGGCGGGCGGCCUCCGUGUGCCAAAAAUAGGCCACGGGCACAGCCGCGCCCAAAAAUCAGCCCCCGAAGGUCGGGGUCCCAAGACCCCCCAGCGGAAAAAUGGUCAAAACACCGGUGGGCUAUAGCCUUGGCGGGCGGCCUCCGUGUGCCAAAAAUAGGCCACGGGCACAGCCGCGCCCAAAAAUCAGCCCCCGAAGGUCGGGGUCCCAAGACCCCCCAGCGGAAAAAUGGUCAAAACACCGGUGGGCUAUAGCCUUGGUGGGGGGCGUGGGCGAAGUUCAUCCGCGGGACUCGGAAUGGCGCCAGACUUGGCGGGCAGCCUCUGUGUGCCAAAAAUAGGCCACGGGCACAACCGCGCCCAAAAAUCAGCCCCCGAAGGUCGGGGUCCCAAGACCCCCCAGCGGAAAAAUGGCCAAAAAACGGGUUGGCUAUAGCCUUGGUGGGCGGCGUGGGCGAAGUUCGUCCGCGGGACUCGGAAUGGCACCAGACUUGGCGGGCGGCCUCCGUGUGCCAAAAAUAGGCCACGGGCACAGCCGCUCCCAAAAAUCAGCCCCCGAAGGUCGGGGUCCCAAGACCCCCCAGCGGAAAAAUGGCCAAAAAACGGGUGGGCUAUAGCCUUGGUGGGCGGCGUGGGCGAAGUUCGUCCGCGGGACUCGGAAUGCCACCAUACUUGGCGGGCGGCCUCCGUGUGCCAAAAAUAGGCCACGGGUACAGCCGCGCCCAAAAAUCAGCCCCCGAAGGUCGGGGUCCCAAGACCCCCCAGCGGAAAAAUGGCCAAAAAAAGGGUGGGCCAUAGCCUUGGCGGGGGGCAUGGGCGAAAUUCGUCCGCGGGACUCGGAAUGGCACCAGACUUGGCAGGCGGCCUCCGUGUGCCAAAAAUAGCCCACGGGCACAGCCGCUCCCAAAAAUCAGCCCCCGAAGGUCGGGGUCCCAAGACCCCCCAGCGGAAAAAUGGCCAAAAAAAGGGUGGGCUAUAGCCUUGGCGGGGGGCGUGGGCGAAGUUCGUCCGCCGGACUCGUAAUGGCCCCAGACUUGGCGGGCGGCCUCUGUGUGCCAAAAAUUGGCCACGGGCACAGCCGCGCCCAAAAAUCAGCCCCCGAAGGUCGGGGUCCCAAGACCCCCCAGCGGAAAAAUNN